AUACUUACCUGGCAGGGGCGAUACCAUGAUCACGAAGGUGGUUUUCCCAGGGCGAGGCUCACCCAUUGCACUCCGGGUGCGCUGACCCCUGCAAUUUCCCCAAAUGUGGGAAACUAGACUGCAUAAUUUGUGGUAGUGGGACUGCGUUUGCUUUAUCCCCU
rnacentral:snRNA from 1 species